AGAGUUUGAUCCUGGCUCAGGAUGAACGCUAGCGGCAGGCUUAACACAUGCAAGUCGAGGGGCAUCGGGAGGGAAGCUUGCUUUCCUUGCCGGCGACCGGCGCACGGGUGAGUAACACGUAUGCAACCUGCCCUCUUCAGGGGGACAACCUUCCGAAAGGGAGGCUAAUCCCGCGUAUAUCGGUUUCGGGCAUCCGAGAUCGAGGAAAGAUUCAUCGGAAGAGGAUGGGCAUGCGGCGCAUUAGCUUGACGGCGGGGUAACGGCCCACCGUGGCGACGAUGCGUAGGGGUUCUGAGAGGAAGGUCCCCCACACUGGUACUGAGACGCGGACCAGACUCCUACGGGAGGCAGCAGUGAGGAAUAUUGGUCAAUGGGAGAGAUCCUGAACCAGCCAAGCCGCGUGAGGGAAGACGGCCCUAUGGGUUGUAAACCUCUUUUGUCGGAGAACAAAACCCGGGACGUGUCCCGGACUGCGUGUAUCCGAAGAAAAAGCAUCGGCUAACUCCGUG
rnacentral:rRNA from 1 species